UGCAGUCGAACGCGAAGUAAUCCUUCGGGGUUAUGGUAGCGUGGCGCACGGGUGAGUAACGCGUAGAUAAUCUGCCUUGUAGACUGGGAUAACCCUUUGAAAGGAGGGAUAAUACCGGAUAAAACUAAAUAUCUCCGGAUAAAUAGUUAAAAAGGUUACUGCUAUGAGAUGAGUCUGCGUAUCAUUAGCUAGUUGGUAGGGUAAAGGCCUACCAAGGCAAAGAUGAUUAGUGGGUUUGAGAGGAUGACCCGCCACACUGGAACUGAGACACGGUCCAGACUCCUACGGGAGGCAGCAGUGGGGAAUAUUGCGCAAUGGGGGAAACCCUGACGCAGCAAUACCGCGUGAGUGAAGAAGGCCCUUGGGUCGUAAAGCUCUUUGUCUUAGGGAAGAUAAUGACGGUACCUAAGGAAUAAGCACCGGCUAACUCCGUGCCAGCAGCCGCGGUAAUACGGAGGGUGCAAGCGUUGUUCGGAAUUACUGGGCGUAAAGGGCGCGUAGGCGGUUAUAUAAGCUAAGGGUGAAAUCCCUAGGCUCAACCUAGGAAUGGCUUUUAGAACUGUAUAACUAGAGUGUGUCAGAGGCAGAUGGAAUUCCUGGUGUA
rnacentral:rRNA from 1 species